GAUGAACGCUGGCGGCGUGCUUAACACAUGCAAGUCGAACGGAAAGGCUCCUGCUUGCAGGGGUACUCGAGUGGCGAACGGGUGAGUAACACGUGGGUGAUCUGCCCUGCACUUCGGGAUAAGCCUGGGAAACUGGGUCUAAUACCGGAUAGGACCACAUUUUGGAUGGUGUGGUGGAAAGUUUUUCGGUGUGGGAUGAGCUCGUGGCCUAUCAGCUUGUUGGUGGGGUAAUGGCCUACCAAGGCGGCGACGGGUAGCCGGCCUGGGAGGGGGUACGGGCACAAUGGGACUGAGGUACGGCCCAGGAUGCAACGGGGGGCAGCAGUGGGGAAUAUUGCACAAUGGGCGCAAGCCUGAUGCAGCGACGCCGCGUGGGGGAUGACGGCCUUCGGGUUGUAAACUCCUUUCGCUAGGGACGAAGCGCAAGUGACGGUACCUGGAGAAGAAGCACCGGCUAACUACGUG
rnacentral:rRNA from 1 species